GUGUGUACAGCAAUGGUUCUUGAGCGAUGUAUUUUUCAAUUAUCAGUCCUCGUUUCUGUGACCAAUUUUCAGAACUCAGCGUAUCUUAGCACCGUUUCGUGUGAUUAUCACGAAGUAUCGAUUUUUACAUUUUCUGCGACACAACGAUGAAGGAUAAAAACAGAAGCUGAACCAAAUUGAUUAUCGUAUAGCAUUAUGGGUAGUUUUUGAUAAUCUGUGGAAUUCUCUGCUAUACAUUGGCAUUACAGUUCAUUCCGCGUGCGUCUAUUGGAUGUGAUAUAGGAUUAGACAUUUUAUUUGUAUAUUUUGUGUUUUGUUUUUUAAUUCUUGUAUGUAAAGUGAAGUGUUAUUUUUUGUGAAAGCUUAUUGCGUGUGGAGAUUAGUUAGAUAGUUUGAAAUAAACAUUCCAGAGCAUAUGUGAAUAUCGUGCAGGCUAUUUGAAGACUAGUAUUUAAACUGAAUGUGAAGAAAUUAAAGUACAAUUCAUUCGGAAUAGAUAGCACAAAGAUUACGAUUGUGACUCACUUUUAAUAGUAUUAAUACGUAACAUUUUACAUAUAUAUAGAGAGAGCUUAUCAAAAAUAUCAUAUUUUAAACAGUAUUUUAUUUCCAUAUCUGAGAAAAAAACAUAUCUUUCAUUCUGACAUAUAUUUCAGACCAUUGAAUUUUCAGAAUUACAAAAUCAAAAGGAGUCAUUCAUAUAUCAAAAUUGUACCAAAUUUGAGAUUAUUUUAUAAUAAACUGUUCAUAUUUGAGAUUACUAUACGUACCUCCAAAUGCGGCCUAACUUGACAACCCUUUCAAAUGGAGUUACCCUAGUGACUGGGAUGACAGGUUUGAAUGAAAAUCUAAUCGCGGGGACACACAGCGUUGUCAAUGGCCCCCAGCAGGGGUCCGGCUUAACCAUACCCCUGAAGGACCAUGAUGCUGUUAAGCUUUUUGUUGGCCAGAUACCCAGGACCCUAGACGAAAAGGAUUUGCGCCCAAUUUUUGAGGAGUAUGGGCAAAUAUACGAGCUCACUGUGCUGAAGGAUCGGUUCACCGGAAUGCAUAAAGGAUGUGCCUUUUUAACGUAUUGUGGAAGGGAGAGCGCACUGAGGGCUCAGGCAGCAUUACAUGAACAAAAAACAUUACCAGGGAUGAAUCGCCCAAUCCAGGUCAAACCUGCAGACAGUGAAAGCAGAGCAGAACGUGAUCCCGCAAAACACGAAGACAGGAAGUUGUUUGUGGGCAUGCUCAAUAAACAACAGACGGAAGAUGACAUAAAACAUUUAUUUACACCUUUCGGACAAGUGGAAGAACUGACCAUACUUAGGGACCAAAAUGGAAACAGCAAAGGUUGUUCAUUCGUGAAAUAUUCCAAUCAUUCUGAGGCCCAGGCCGCCAUUAAUAACCUUCAUGGCAGUCAGACAAUGCCUGGUGCUUCGUCUAGUCUUGUAGUAAAAUUUGCCGACACAGAGAAGGAGAGACAACUCCGCAGAAUGCAACAGAUGGCACAAUCAGUAGGGCUCCUGAACCCCUUGGCUCUAUCACAGAUCGGGGCUUACGGCGUAUACGACCCACCAAGGAAUCUCCAAGUCUACCCUGAUACGAUAAUGCAGCAACAAGCUUUGGUUGCCGCGGGUCAAGGUCAUUACUUGACCCCUGUGACCUUGGCACAGAUUCCACAAGCUGUGACAGCACUUGCCGCACCAAAUGGUAUCUCCACGGCAACCAUGACACCGACCACGGCCUCUCUCGCUAACGGUGAGAGUACAGCAACAACACCUAUAAGUGGAGCGCCCCCUAGUGUACUUUCACCAACCCCUGUUGCCGGUUUCCCAAUUGCCCAAAACGGCCAACAAGAGAUUUACGCUAACGGCAUUCCGGCUUACGCAGCACAAACUAUCACAAACGGGGACCCUUCACAGAUAUACACGGCAGUAACCCCGUACGGUAUUGGGGAAUAUCUAACUGCAUACCCAACCGCAUUCAAUCCAAUCCAGCAAGCACUAUUACAGAAUGCUGCAUUGAUGCCUACUGCUCAAAAAGAAGCAGUGCUGACUUCUACAGGACCAGACGGUUGCAAUCUAUUUAUAUACCACUUGCCUCAAGAGUUCGGUGAUGCGGAACUAGCACAAAUGUUUAUGCCAUUUGGAAACGUUAUUAGUGCUAAAGUAUAUGUUGACAGGGCAACCAAUCAGAGCAAGUGUUUUGGUUUUGUUAGUUUUGACAAUCCUGCGUGUGCCCAAGCUGCAAUCCAAGCCAUGAAUGGGUUUCAAAUUGGUAUGAAGCGGCUUAAGGUUCAGCUGAAACGCCCUAAGGAUGCUUCAAAGCCUUAUUAGGGGAUCGAAUCCCGUAAUGCGCAUAAAGAAACUCUCUUCAAAAGAGAGAUGAGCUAUAACAGUACGUAUCCUUGGUAACCAAAUUACGUCAUCCGAUAAUGUAUUGUAGAUUCAACAACAGUUGUUCUAGUCCAUGAUGUAAUCAGUGACGUAGAGUAAGAUGAUGACGUGGAUUGAACAAGAUGACGUCAUUAAAGUUCUGAAAAAUAUAAAACAUUCACAAACACAUUCAUCGCAAUUGACUUUACAAGUGGAAAUGGGAUAAACACGUCACAAGUUGUCAAGACCACCCGCCGAGUUUGAAAUGUACAUAGAAUUACUUUUUCUCCACAUUUUAAUUUCUUAAUUUUGUAAAUAUUUGUUUUCUUCAAUUUAAUUACAUUAAUUCUUAUGAAUUUUAAAAUGUUAUUUUUUGUCUAUUUGAUUUAUUGCUUUAUUUUAUAAGUUUAUGAUAUAAUAUAUAUUUCUCUGGUUUAUGCAAUAAUUCACCAUGCUUGAAAGUUAAGUAGGGAUUGGGUAAUACUUUCGUAGGAAAAAUGUCUAAAGGGAACUGAUUGGCUGAUAGUGGACUAAAGGAAGGAAAGUAGCCAAUCAAUAAUAAUGUAACAACGGACUUUGCUUCAUUUGAGGAACCAAUAGGAAAGCUUCACUUUAACUCUUGUGCUUGUUUAGUGAAUGUAACCUUCAAUUUAGUGUGAGUCAUUGUGUAAACUGGAUUAAUAAAAUCUUCGAUUAUUUUCGCUAAAUUGUUUCUUCUGGAAAUAAAGGAAUAUGUCUUUGAAGUGCACAAAUGAUAUUUGGCUGUGCAUGUAAUUGCUUACUUUUGUGUUGUUUUGACACUGGGUGCAUUUUUUAACAAAAAUUAAAUUAAUUAAUUUUCAAAAGCCUUAAGAAAAAAAUAAAACGUAUGUCCGACUCUUUUAGUAAAUGAUAACCAAAACUUGUUUGGCCUAGAGGAUCAGUAACAAAAAGUUUCAAGUCCUUCUGCCUAUCAGAAACAAGCGGAUUUAAUCGAAGUGUAUGUAUAUGUAUCUAACAUGUGUAAGUACAGUGCUAAAAGAUGUUAUCUGUCUUGUAGAUAGCAUAGUUUUCCACUGUAACACAAAUUGUUUUGGAGCUUUGUGCAAUAUGUUUAAUUGUAAGUGCUGAAAAUCCGAAAUACUUAGUGGAUUUUGCAAAAAUAAAAUAGUUCGUCCGGUGCCAUUUUCAGAAUAUUUUACAAUUUCAAAUAAAACAUAAAACAUAAUUUUUAAAGGUACCGGGCAAAUUUUUUUUAGACUUGAUUUAAUAUCAAAUUGAAAAGUGUAGUUUUAUUGGGGAAAUGAUUGAUUUUAGUAGAGUAAAUGGCUUUUUUAACUGGCGAAUUGUAAUUCAGUUUAUAAACUCGUAUCCAAAAGUAUGCUUGUAACAGAGAUUAUGCUAUUUUCGGGCGCUAUUUUUUAAAUCUUUGAUUUAUUAUAUUAACAUGUUUUUAUGUAUUAAUAUAUAAGAUAUUGGUUUCCUUUUAACGUUUGGUGGUUUUAUUUUCGAUUUACAUUCCAUUGAGGUCAUUGAGUAUAUAGUAUUUUAUAUCAAUGUCUAAUACAAUUGGUGCAUUUUAUACUAACAUGCCAAAAUUUACCAACUGUCACUCAAUGUGUUCAAAUUAUCGAUCACAUUGUUCUAUCAGUCGGAAUGGUUCGGGUGUUUACGUGAAAAUGACGAAAACUGCCGAGUAACUCCGACUUUUCCUAGCUGUUGUCUCGUAACACGUGAUGUAAAUUUUCAUCUGGAUGUAAAUUUUAUAUGAUAUUUUGAUAAACUCGGAAUUUUUAUACUCUUUACAAACAUUCUCAAUAUUGUGUAUGGGUAUAUACAUGUAUGUCACGUGAUUUUCAGUAGGAUUCCAACGUAGAGAUUAUGUAGUCUGUAACACUUUCAAAUGUGCUAUUUUUAGAAAGUAACAUCUAUUUUUAGAUUUUGAUGAUAUAUCUUGUCACAUUGUCAUUGUUGUGACGUAAUUCUGGGUUUCAUUUCCGGUGAUGAUUUGUGGUAAAUUUUGCUUUUAAAACUUUAAGUUCAGAAGGGAAACCAGUGUCUUAUAUGAACAAAUAAUUUGUCUCAAAAACGUUUUGAGAAAAAUUUGUUUGUUAAUGUCGAUAACAAAAUAUAGCUUGACAUUUUCCAUUCAUACUAGUAUUUGAAAAUAACCGGUACUUUACACAAAGUGAAAGUAUCAAUUUUGAUUGGACUUUUUACACCAAUUGCAAAAUUCAAAGCGUAUUCCUAUUGGGCUAUAUCCGGUGUACGUGUCCUCAUUGUGAAUUAUAUCCGAUGUGCUCUUAGCCUAGUAUUGGCGGAAGCUUGAAACCACAAUGUAGUUCCCACCCACUGCCUUUAAGAAUGGAAAUGUUUAAGCUAUAUUUAUGUCCUUUGAUUACAAAAUUCUAAGUUGAGACUUAGAGAAAAAAGUGGACCAUUCCUUGCAUAAAAAUCAUAGUCAUUUUUCACCUCAUUAAUUGUUGCCACGAGGUAUAUGUAAAUAUAUUAUUAUAUGAUUAAAUUAUAUACUUUUAUCAUACAUGCUUAGUAAUAGACCUAGCUAGAUCUUACUUAGUUAGUUACUUGCACUUUAAUCUUUAUUAUCAAGUUGAAUAACUUUCUUUGAACAAUCCAGAAUUGAAGACUUUUUGUUGUUUAAUUAGUUACACACAUCCGUUACAUAUCAGUUUUUAAAUAUCGAUUUUAUAGAUAUGUUUUGUGUACGCCAAUGUAUUGAUCCCCUACCAGUAGCAUAGUCAGUUAGUCAACGUGUAGAAACUUACAUAAUGAUUACACAUAUUUAAUGUGGAUAUUUCAUGAAAUGGAACAUUUCAACUGGAAUAAAAGUAAGAAGACUACUGCAGAUAUAAUCAUGAAAGGCUGUGCUUGUCACAUUCAUUAAAAUUUGAAACGCAGGCAUUGCUUAGUGAUAUGAACUCAAUAAAAAGCAUAUGUAAGUCUUUGGUGCUAUUUGAAAGCAGAACUGUUUGUAUUUCUUGAUUUAUUAUCCGUCAAGCAAGCAUUGCCUUUAUAAACUGCACGAGAAUAACGUGAAAUUUACCAAGUUUACUUAGCAGACUGAAAUGUACUAAAAGGGGGAUGGCAUUGAAAGAGAAACUAUCUAUAAAGUAUUACAGAUAUCAUCAGCAAUUUAAUGCAAAACUCAAGUUAGUUUAUGUUGUCGCUCUAUUUAUAUCAAUUUGUUAAAUUUGUUGACAUUAUCUAUCUCAAAACUAGUUAAAUUGUUGAUAUUCUCGUUUUUAAAAAGCUUAUGAUGUACAUAUUUUCUAAACUUUUAUUAAAUUAUUUAAUUAAUUCACUUAUAUUUAUAUCAAUUUGUUUUUAAUUUAGGGAGCUAACAUGACUUGUACAUACUAACUGAAGCGCUUUUGAUAUUACAGAUUUUAUUGCAUAAGAAUCACGUGCGUAAAAAUAGAACGUGUUUAUAAUUUCCAUUAUACCAUAAAGUAAAAACUUAAACGACCUGACCUAUUUACAUAAGUCUGUAAGGAAAGUCAUUCUAUUCUGCCAUUGUUAAAUUGCACGUAUCUUCUAAAGCAUUCACGUAUCAGAGUAUUUCGAAACAACACAAAAGACACGUGAUUUUUUUGAAAUGCAAUCUGUUAUUUCAUUGGAUGUCGCUAGGCACCACCAUUUGUAAAUAGACAUAGACUUUAGCGUUAGUUUCAUCAAUCAUAUUGUUUUAGCACCUCAGAUAUUCAAUUGAGCUUGUUAACGGUACCUAAUAGAGAUUGCCUUUCUGUCUGGAAACGAUUUCUCAUUCGUAAUCUCUUUUUAUAUUCCAAAUGUUUUAAGCGACUUAGUAUUUUUUUAAUGUUUUAAGCGACUUGUUAUUUUUUUAAUGUUUUAAGCGACCAAUGUCUGCUGUAAAUGUUUUAAACACACAGUUUUGAUUUUUAAAAUGAAGCAAGAUAGCAUAUUGUACAAGAAGUAACAAUGUCAAAAUUAUGAAUGGCUGCAGAAUUGAAAUGAUUACAAUAUAUCACAGCAGGUAUAUUAUCAAAAUUCAAACUUUUUUUCUGAUAGAUCUUUCUUUGAUUCCGAAUGAGAAAUUUAUUUCCAGCCCAUUUUUAUAGUCAUUGUGUUCAUUAAGCAUUUCCAACAGUCAUCUUGUAAGAGUCUGAUAUCUUUGAAUUGUUAAAAUUUCACAGUUUGCCAUGAAGCUAGAGAUAUUUCUUUAGCUCAGUAAACAUAGUGUCAUUCAAAACCUCUUACAUGUUGUUUGUAGGAAAUGUAAAAUUUUGUGCAAUACACAUCAAGUUUCUUGGUACAUAUCAUGUCUAAUGUUGCUGGGGAUGCUACUUAUCCAUUUUUCUAAACUGAUACAUAAGCAGAACCGAAAAUUCGUUUGCGGAUGUUACAAAAAAUCGACGGCAAAAUCACGUGAUAAGGUGAUGCCCUUACAACCACAUUUAUAAAACAGUUGAUGUUCCUUUUUAAGGCCCCACCGGGCUUCUGUUAGUACACCAUCAACUAGCAUUCAAGGAUUGUUUCUGUUAUUCCACUAACGACUGACAUUCACUGAUUGGCUAAAUUUAUUUCGUUGGUGCUCCGUGUCUUGGUUAAAACUUACAAAGACAGGAGGCGUGGGUAGUUGCUUAGAGAAUAGAAAAUGUAUAAUAGUGUUUGAGCUUAUCAUUUCUAUCACUGAAACAAUUCACGACAUUUAAAGUGUUUUUAAGCAACAUUAGACAAAGACAUGCUACCAGGAAGCCUCGUAGAUGGCGAAAACUAGUCUAUAUAUAAAGUAUUCUCAGUUAAUUUGUUAACGUUUUGUUUUGUUUUUUAUCUACUUAGGUUAUUUUUAGAAACGAUGCUCUCCUUUUAACGGCGAUAUACACUCAAAUCAAAAUCACUUUUGUUUAUUUUCUUGAAAAUAUUUCGUUCACAAGAUUUGGAACUAUAUAUAAAAUGAUUGGCAUGCAGACAGACUAUGUUUUUUUUUCAUUGGGACUAACUAUUCAAAAGCGAUUAAGUACCGCUAUAAAACGGCUUCCAAACGCUCAAAGUUUGAUUAUGUAUGAAAACAGCGACACAGGACACAGUGCACGGUUAUGAAAUUGAGAUAGGGUACCAGACUAGAAAAUCGAGCAUCUGAUUGGUUGAUUCAACCAUUGACCAAUGGUAAUGCAUGACUCCAACUUCAGUUGUAUAAGCUUGGAACCAGUAAGUUUUUAAAUCUUACAUUUUGCUCAUUUUUAAAACAAACAACUUAAAGUAUAUCUGACUGUAUGCCAGUUAGGAACUAUAUAACCUGCAUUUGUCAACGAGCUGCUCUAAGGUCUUUGAUCAAAUAUGUCUUAAUGUGUGCAAUUUCAUUUUUCGUUUCUGCAUUUUUUACAAGCAGAAAUUUACUCCAUCAAAGAAUCUGAUAAAAUGAUAUUGAAGCAUGUUAAUUUCUCCAUUACAAAUAAUAUCAGAAAUGUUACGUAAUUUUUGACAUAUUUACAUUUUUCAUACUUUUUACAAAGUUUAAAGCUAAGUUUACUCCGAUUUAUUUCGAAUAUUACAAUGGUUUGAAUGAUUUUAUCAUUCUUUUACAUAUGAUUCACAAAUUUAAAUUGUUUCUUAAAGCAUUAAAGUAAUUUUUGUUUGUAUACACAAUGAAUUGUCAGAUAUAGAAUAUAAUGCUGGUAUUGUUUAUUAAGGGAGGUAAUUGUAUAUUUCUUAUACAGUUUCUAAAGGGAGGUAAUUGUCUCAAAAUGAAUCUCACUUCAAGCUGUAUGUUCUAUUGAUUCUGCAGACAGAAUUAAAACUUUUUAAAGAAAAAUAUCUCACGGAUCUUGAAUUCCAUUUAAACAAUAUUUUUCUUGUACAGGUUACUCAUAGAGUAAUAAAAUAAAAUAUAUUAGCUA